UCAUUUGUCAACUGGUCUAAUUAAGCCACUUUUAACACUUAACGACCUUUAAAUAUUUCUUCUUCAUGUGUUGGAGCGUGCACUCUGCUCAGUGGAAUCUGAAACUAAUGUUUCCUCUGCAGUCGCUCACAGCUUCUGACUUCCUGAAGCGUAUUGGAGUGGUUCACUCAGACAAUAUACUGCUGGUUAACCAGAAUGAGCCCUUCAGGGUCAAACUAAUUGAUUUUGGCACGUCCGUCUCCAGAGGACACACUUGGGAAGCUGCUCCAGCCUUCGUGUUACCGGUAGGUUCAAUGUGCAGAGCUCAUCAUUUAAUAUGUGUGUUCGAUGUAAAUGAUCCAACAGUAAUUGUCAGUGCAGAUGCUGAAUUUAACAAAGUACUGAACAGAUCUUGUUUGUACACAGUUCACCUGAAGUCCCCCUGAGCCUCCUCUUCUCUGAGGCCGUUGACUUGUGGAGUCGUGGCUGCUUGUUUCUCUUUUUGUAUCUUGGCAACAACCCGAUGCGAGAACCAGGAAAUGAAAGUGCUUGUUGACACGCUGGUCCAAGGAUGGUCCAAGGACACCCCCUCCUCACGAUGGUCCAUCUAAACAACAUCUGCAGCCCAUAAUUCUCUGGAUAAAGUGGAGGGGGGGGGGAUUAGACGACCACGACGAUGAUGAGUUUUUCUCAUAUAGUGUAGUUGAGGAAGAGGCUGAGGAAGAAGAGGCUGAGGAAGAAGAGGCUGAGGAGGAAGAGGCUUCGGCCAUCCCUUCUUCAUGUGACGCAGGCUCAGCUCAUGUGUGAGGAUACAGCAGCAGCAGAGGCGUCACCCUUAUGAGGGCGUCCAGCUGAAGUCACAGAGGUUAUGACUCAGCUGAAGACUCGGCACCUUCCUCCUCACACACAAACGAUGCAAUAUCCUCCUGAUCAGGGGAAGUUAGGAGUUUAAAAACAGCCCUGACAUGCUCACUUUUCAGUUUAAAAGCACCAGACACUGAAAUCAUGAGCGUGAUCUUCCAACCUGAUUAAUUUACUUUACUUGAUCGACCUUGUGAUGCUGCUGGAGGUCAAACCGCUGCCAGGGAGUUGAGUCAAGGACCAAACCAGGUCGGACAUUUCAUCAGAUUCUGCCUCAAUAGUAAAGUCUGUUUGUAAGUGUGUGUUUUUUCAAACUAAAUAAAUCAAUAACAUAUUAAGUUCCAGUAUCUAACGAUGCAGAUGAGAAGCUGAAGCAGGUUGAAGAUUAAACUGAAGCUCUAAGAGAAGUGGGCAGGUCUCACCGGUGUAUGACUCUUCAUACAGGCCCCUGAAGCAGGUCGGGGCCCCUGACCACCACUCCCCCCACCACCGCUGGGCUGCGUUUAUCUUCAUCCUACUUGUUCAGACAGUUCCUCUCCACACCUGGAGCCAUGUCGCAUCACAGACACACAACCCAGACCACAACUGACAGAGCUGAGGGGUUCACUGACAGGAACAUCCCAUCCAUCAUCUGUACUGCUUAUCACAGGGGGAGCCGGAGUCAGCCGAGGCAGGGACAUCCUGGACAGGUCCAACAUCCAGAGACACACAGCCACUCAACAUGUCUCUGGACUGUGGGAGGACGCAGGAGAACCUGCAGAGGAACCACACAGACACAGGGAGACCCAGAGGGAACAGGGAACCUUCUCACUGUGAGGGGACUAUGAUAUAUAAAUAAUAAUAAUAAUUAUAAACUUGAUGCUUCUUUCAACGGUUACAAGGCGCUUAACAAUUUGAAAAUGUUAAAAUACACAAUGGGACACAAUUAAACGUAAUUUGAAGAUCACACAGUGUUAAAGCACAAAUACCGAAAUAAAACUUGUUACAGAUGAUUAAAGAGUAAAAUAAAAGAUAAAAUAAAACAUAGUGAAAAUGAUUAAAACAGUAUAAGAUCAGAACUCGAGGGAUAAAGCUAUAAAAAUGUGUGUUUAAGAUUUAAAAGAGUUUUAUCAUUUUGAAUCUACUAAUCUUUAUCAUAACGUCAGAUUGCACAGCCUAAUAAUAUUAGUUGUAUUGUAUAUUAUUAUGUUGGGAGUCAUUCAAAAUGAAUGACCACCGGUUGUGAUCUAAAGGUCUUUGUUUAGUUUUAAAUGAUUUAAAAUGCUUUAGGUGAACCACUGGAUGCAAAGUGGGGCAGAUGCCGCUGCUCCGGGCUCCGGGGGCUCCGGGGGCUGGUCUCCUCCCAGCUCUGCCUCCUGUCCUCGGUGUUUAUGAUCCGAGGCUGCGCGCUGAGCGGCUCCAUUGUCUGAGCGGCAGCGGCAGCAGCGGCGGAGCGGAGCGGCAUCACUGUGACCCCGAUCCCCGGGAGGAGGCCACCGCUGCUCGGGGAGCCCCGGAGCGGACACGGCGCGGUUCUGUUCGUCACCAGGGU